rnacentral:rRNA from 1 species
AACACGACUCUCGGCAACGGAUAUCUCGGCUCUCGCCACGAUGAAGAAUGUAGCGAAAUGCGAUACUUAGUGUGAAUUGCAGAAUCCCGUGAAUCAUCGAGUCUUUGAACGCAAGUUGCGCCCGAGGCCUCGGCCGAGGGCACGUCUGCUUGGGUGUCGCAC